rnacentral:rRNA from 1 species
AACGAACGCUGGCGGCAGGCCUAACACAUGCAAGUCGAGCGAGGACUUCGGUUCUAGCGGCGGACGGGUGAGUAACGCGUGGGAAUGUGCCCUUCUCUACGGAAUAGCCCUGGGAAACUGGGAGUAAUACCGUAUACGCCCUAUGGGGGAAAGAUUUAUCGGAGAAGGAUCAGCCCGCGUUGGAUUAGGUAGUUGGUAGGGUAAUGGCCUACCAAGCCGACGAUCCAUAGCUGGUUUGAGAGGAUGAUCAGCCACACUGGGACUGAGACACGGCCCAGACUCCUACGGGAGGCAGCAGUGGGGAAUCUUAGACAAUGGGGGAAACCCUGAUCUAGCCAUGCCGCGUGAGUGAUGAAGGCCUUAGGGUUGUAAAGCUCUUUCAGCUGGGAAGAUAAUGACGGUACCAGCAGAAGAAGCCCCGGCUAACUCCGUG